UCUGUUUUUACAAUGGUGGGAUUUGUAUUCUUUCAUGCAAAAGUAGUGGCAGUAAAAGAAAAUGAAAAAGAAAAUAUUUCAAAAGAAUGAAGUUGUCAGGGAAGAGAGUUUGUCAUAUUGUAUUUGCAUACCAUUUCCUUUCACCAUCUGGUCCUAGUGUCAUGUCCUAACACUUCCUCAUCCCAUUUUCACUCUCUCCUACUCCAGUGGUUCUCAGUCUUGGCUGCAAAUCAGAACUGCAAGUGCAACUUAAAAAAAAAUAAUUAAUGUAGAGACUCCACCCCAGCUACACAUUGAAUCAGAAUCUCUAGGAGUUAGGCCUGAGCAUGUUUUGCUUUGCUUUUUUGUUUUGUUUUAAUCUCUAUGUAUGAUUUAGAUGCAUAAUUAAGUUUGAAAAAAUAAAAACACCCUAUUCCCAAGCCACUCAAAUAAAAGCUGUUCUUUGGA
rnacentral:sRNA from 1 species